UUUAAAAUCCAUUUCAAUUUUAAAUUGACUUUUUAGUCAAAUUUUUUUUAAUGCUUUUUUUAUUUUUUUUCUAAAAUGUCUAAUAUCUUUUUUACAUCUUCUAUGUGAAAAUGUUCCAUUUUGAUAAGGUCUUCUUGACUGUUAUUCAAAAGAUCCAAUAAUGUAUGUAUAUUGGACUUUUUGAGACAAUUAUAGAUUCUGGGAGGCAAUUCUAAUUGGUCAAUAAAAAUAUAUUGAAACGCUAGUUCUUUUUUUUUUUUUUUUUUUUUUUUUUUAGGUUAACUAAUCUAUUAUGAAAAGGAAAAAGGGGUAAAGUAACUUGAUGUUGAUUGUUCUCUAAAUAGAACGUUUCUUCUUCUACAUGUAGAAAAGGAAUAAAUAAAUUAAUCAAAUUCCGGGAGGCUUCAUGAAGUGCUUCUUUAGGAGUUAAACUUCCAUUUGUCCAUAUUUCUAGAAAAAGAAUCUCUUGUUUUUCAUUCCCAUUCCCAUAAGAAUGAAUACUAUGAUUCGCAUUUUGAACAGGCAUGAAUACAGCAUCUAUAGGAUAACUUCGGUCUUCAAAGUUAUUUGACAUUUUUAAACUAUAUCCGCGAUUCCUCUCGAUUUUUAAUCCAAUACACAAAUUUAUUGGUUCCGUUAAGGUAGCUAUAUGCUGUGUAUUAUCAACGAUUUCCACAGAGGGCGGUAAAACUAUGUCUCGAGCAGUUAUAUAUCCGGGACCUUGGACACAAAUAAGCGCGUUGCGCGUUCCAUAUAGAUUACUUUUUAAUACAAUCUCGUUCAAAUUCAUUAAAAUUUCAUGUACUGAUUCUUGAAUACCGACUAUGUUAGAAUAGUCAUGUGGUAUGUUCUCAGAUUUUGCACGUGUAAUACAUGUUCCUUCUAUUUCGCCAAGUAAAGCUCUUCGCAUCGCAAUGCCUAUUGUGUCGGCUUGACCUUUCAUAAGUGGAGACAGAAUAAAGCGUCCAUAAUAAAGACGCUUACUGUCUCUUCUUGAUUCAACACACUUCCACUGUAGUGUCCGAGUAGAUACUUUGACUUUCUCUCGAACCAUAGUAAUUUUAUUUGAUCAGAUCAUUGAAUCAUUUAUUUCUCUUGAAACCCUUUCAGCCUUUAUUUAGUUCUAUACACGUCGUUUUUUAGGGGGUCUACAACCAUUAUGUGGCAUAGGGGUUACAUCUCGUACGAAACUUAAAAGUAUACCGCUUCUACGAAUAGCUCGUAAUGCUGCAUCUCUUCCUAGUCCAGGGCCUUUUAUCCUUACUUCAGCUCGUUGCAUACCUUGAUCCACUACUGCUCGAAUAGCAUUUCCUGCUGCGGUUUGAGCAGCAAAAGGUGUUCCUCUUCUUGUACCCCUGAAUCCACAAGUACCCGCGGAGGACCAAGAAAUCACCCGACCCCGUACAUCUGUAACGGUCACAAUGGUAUUGUUGAAACUUGCUUGAACAUGAAUAACUCCCUUUGGUAUUCUACGUACAUUUUUACGUGAACCACUACGGGUAUUUUUACGUGAACCAAUUCUUAAUAUAGGUUUUGCCAUAUUUUUUCAUUUCACAAGAAAUAUAUGGAUAUAUCCAUUUCAUGUCAAAACGGACCUUUUUUUUACUAGCUCCUUGGAAGUGCCUUUUCCUUUAGUAAGAUUAUCCUUGUCUUUGUUUAUGCCUCGGGUUGGAACAAAUUACUAUAAUUCGUCCCCUCCUACGGAUUAGCCGACACUUUUCACAAAUUUUACGAACGGAAGCCCUUAUUUUCAUAGUUGUUAUUCCUUAAUUCUCUUAAUAUACUUAUUGUUGGACGAAAAAAAGGUUUCUUGAUAUUUUUGAAUCUUGAAUUGUAUCUUCGUGAAAGGAAUGUUGAAUUUCAAAAAACCACUGACUUAUUUGAAUCCUUGUUAUGGAGUCUAGAAAGUGGCUGUUCCCCGAUUAACUUAAUACCUAAGAACUUACUAAAAUUUUUACCCCCCUUUUUCUCCUAUAGGUAUACCUAUACAAAAAUAUGUCGAAUCCUUUCAGAAGCAUGACCUAAAAUAAAAAAAAUCUUUAGUAUCUAAACAAAAUCGAACCAUACCGUUCGGAAGUGAUUCAUAAAGAAAACUUUCAUUAAUUCAUUUUUUUCUUUAAUUUCAUUCGGGGUAAAAAAUUCUAAACUUUUUUAGCAGGGGUGGUAUUACACAACCCCCCCCCCUUUUUUUUCACAAAUGCUAAGUUCCGGAUAUCCAAUUUUGAUAUUAGAAGGAUUACCAUAUAUAACACAAAAUUUCUCCGCCGAUUCUUUUUAGUCGAGCUUCUCGAUCUGUCAUUAUACCUUGAGAAGUUGAAAGGAUUACAAUUCCUAUUCCGCCUAAAAUUCGUGGAAUUCGUUGAGAGUUAGAAUAGAUUCGUAGACCCGGUCGGCUUAUUCUCUUUAAAUUUAAAAUCGUUUUAUAGGAUUCUUUCUUAUUUCGUCUAUGUCUUAGGGUUAAAAUCAAAAAAUAUUGAUUGUUUUCGCGAUGUUUCCUUACGUUUUCGAUAAAACCCUCUCGUAAAAGUAUUUUAACAAUGCUUUCGGUGAUGUUAGUCGAUCCUAUCCGAACUGUUCCUUUUCUAUUCAUGUCAGCAUUUCGUAUAGAGGUUAUUAUAUCAGCAAUAGUGUCUUUCCCCAUGAUAAGUUAAAAUUCCUUAAUUGUUCUAUAAUUUUGAUAUAAUCAACAUGUUAUUUUUCUUUUAUUUAUAUAAAAAUAGAGACGAAUUAUAUAUUAAUAUAUGAAUUCAAUUAUUAAUAUAUAAAAUUAUUAAGGGUAUAUGCGUGAUACACAAUCUAUUAAUUAUAAUUAAUUUGAUUUCAAUACCAUUUUUUUAAUCCUAUCCUAUAUUAACUAUCGAUAUUUAGGUCUUAUAAUACUUCAGGAGCUAAUGAAACUAUUUUAGUAAAGUUUAAUUGUCUCAAUUCCCGUGGGAUCGCCCCAAAAACGCGAGUUCCUUUUGGAUUUCCUUCUUGAUCAAUGACAACUGCGGCAUUGUCGUCAUAUCGUAUUAUCGUCCCAUUCUUACGUUUGAGUUCUUUACAAGUACGUACAAUUACAGCUCUGACCACUUCUGAUCUUUCUAGAGUAGUAUUUGGGAUUGCUUCCUUGAUUACAGCAACAAUAACGUCACCAAUAUGAGCAUAGCGGCGAUUACUAGCUCCUAUUAUUCGAAUACACAUCAAUUUUCGAGCCCCGCUGUUGUCUGCUACAUUCAAAUAGGUUUGUGGUUGAAUCAUAUUUUUGUAUCUCUUCUUUUAGUGCAAAGGACGAAGUAAAAAAAAUAUUGUUUGUCAAAAAAAACUUAGAAUCUUUUUAUCCUUAAAUGUUAUUUAGCUUUUUCAUUCUAUAUUCCUAUUCAGAAAUAAUGAAUUGGGUUUUUAUAGGCAUUUUUGAUGCCGCGAUUGAAAUAGCUUUUCUGGCUAUAUUUUCUGGUACACCACCCAUUUCAUAAAGGAUUUUACCUGGUUUAACCACAGCUACCCAGUACUCUGGGGAUCCUUUCCCAGAACCCAUACGCGUUUCCGCGGGUCUUACUGUAACUGGCUUGUCUGGAAAUAUACGUACCCAAAUUUUUCCACCACGUCGUAUAUUUCGUGUCAUUGCUCGUCGCCCUGCUUCUAUUUGUCUAGAUGUAAUCCAAGCGGGUUCAAGUGUUUGAAGAGCAUAUCUGCCAAAACAAAUACGAUUCCCACGAGAGGAUAUUCCUUUUAGUCUUCCUCGAUGUUGUUUACGAAAUUUGGUUCUUUUUGGGUUAUAGUUGAUGGGUUUUUUCUAAAUGAGAAAUUCCAUCUCUACUGCAGAACUGGACGUGAGAGUUUCUUCUCAUCCAGCUCCUCGCGAAUAAAAGGAUUAAUUAAGAUAUAGAUGUAGUUAAUGAUUAAUCCUAUUAAUCAUGGUAUUUUUUUUUUAUUUCAUCUUAUCUCUUCUAAAUUUGUGUAUGUCUUUUUUGAAAUAGAAUCAAAGAUCAAUUUUAUUUCGAUUUAUUUAAAAAUAACGUAAUAUCAUCAUUACAAAUGUAAUUUUUAUUAGAGUUAGAAUAUUAUAACAAAUCCUUAUUUUUUUUUCAUUGUUUUUUUCAUCUUUUAUUACUGUUUUUAUUUGAAAAAAAAAAACCAAUUUUUCGCCGGCGAAUAUUUACUCUUUCAAUAUCUAUUUAAGUUUGCUGUUUAUCCCCCGAGGUCUCAGAAUCAAAAUCAGAAUAGAUAAUAAAGUUUCUGGUUUAUUCCGCCAUCCUGUCCAAUGAAUUACUAAGAUUUCUUGUUCACUAGAAUCCUAUAUAUUCAUGGGUUCCGUCGUUCCCAUCGCUUCUUGAUUAAUCAUUAGGCCUGAAUUCUACAAUGGAGCUUUUACAUGAAAUUUUGAAUUUCUUUUUUUUUUGAGGCAAUUUUCUCAGUUUUGAUUGUCUCAAGGCUCUUAAUUUUUUGUUUUCGGAACAGAUUUAUCUAAUUAUUAUUAUUUAUCUAAUUAUUAUGAAUGAAUCUGUAUUGAUGCUUUAUUACAUUGCUUUUCUUACAGUGACCUCAUAGAUUUUCCAAAUUGGAAUCAUAUAUCAUUAAUAUUCAAUUUUUUCGCUCUUUCUUUCAUCCUUCCAUUUAUCCGCAUACUUUUUGAUUACCUUUCAUAACUUAAUAAUCAUCUUUCUUUAUUCUUUUUUUUUAGUCAGUUGCUCCAAUGAUAUGAUCAGCCUAUCAUAUCUUGACUAAUUUUUUGGAUCCAGAUAAUGCGAAGCAAUGAGUUGCUUAGGUUAUUUAUUAAUGCUGUAGUUAUUAGUUGGUAAGUUCUUUUUUUUUUUUAUCGUAAUCUAACCCUAAACCAACGAGUCACACACUAAGCAUAGCAAUUAUAUCAAAGGAGUUUUGAUGGAAAUGUUUAUUCAACCUUAUAGAAUUGCUUAUUUUUUUUUCUUAAACAUAAAAAAGAAGACUACAAGUUUUUAUUUUUAUUUCUUUAUAGUGUUAUACUACAUAGUUUUCGUUUUUUAUCAUUGGAUAAAAUG
rnacentral:lncRNA from 1 species